rnacentral:rRNA from 1 species
AUACGGAGGGUGCAAGCGUUGUCCGGAUUUACUGGGUGUAAAGGGUGUGCAGGCGGGGCGGUAAGUCAGAAGUGAAAGCCCUCGGCUCAACCGAGGAAUGGCAAGGUAUACUGCUCGGCUUGAGGCGGGUAGGGGUGCCUGGAACUCUAGGUGGAGCGGUGAAAUGCGUUGAUAUCUAGAGGAACGCCAGUGGCGAAAGCGGGGCACUGGGCCCGUCCUGACGCUGAGACGCGAAAGCGUAGGUAGCGAACGGGAUUAGAAACCCCAGUAGUCC